CAUUCCUUUUCUGUUCUUUGAGCUGUGAACACACAUAAAAACGAUUUUCACUGGUGUAUCUUUAGACAAAUUUUUUUUAUCAAAACUUCUCAUAAAACUAAAAUUCAUACAAAAUUUUAAAAUCCAUUUAAACAAAUAUUUUCAAAAAACAGGCGUACAGGCGUGUAUAUUGAAGGAGUCGGCGAAUAAAGUUGUUCUUGGCAUCUCCUCGGGUUCAUUGACCUUCGAUGUGUUCGAGAUUUCCCGUCCGCAAUGUUGGGGGAUAAUUAAGGUCCAAUGAAAGUGUGCAACAAAGUCUACCCAAACGAUUAGGAAUCGAUGUGAUGAAUCCCAAUAUUGAGAGAAGCGAUUAGAAAUCGGAGGAUCAUCAAAGUCCAAUGAAAUGUGCAACAAAAAGGUGAAGUUAUUAAAUUGAAUUUUAAACUAAAAGUCCUCCCCAACGAUUAGGAGUCGAUGUGAUGAAUCCCAAUAUUGAGACAAGGUGCAAUGAAAUAUGCAACAAAUAGGUGAAGUUAUGAAAGUGUUUAAAGUAAAAUAUUCCACCCAAGCAAUUAGAAAUCGUAGGAUCAUCGAAGUCCAAUGCAAUGUGCAACAAAUAGGUGAAGUUAUAAAAUUGAUUAUUAAACUAAGUCCUCCCCAAUGAUUAGGAAUCGAUGUGAUGAAUCCCAAUAUUGAAGAGGAUCAUCAAGGUGCAAUGAAAUAUGCCACAAAUAGGUGAAGUUAUGAAAGUGUUUAAACUAAAAUAUUCCACCCAAGCGAUUAGAAAUCGUAGGAUCAUCAAAGUCCAAUGAAAUGUGCAACAAAUAGGUGAAUGUAUAAAAUUGAUUAUUAAACUAAAAGUCCUCCCCAAUGAUUAGGAAUCGAUGUGAUGAAUCCCAAUAUUGAGACAAGGUGCAAUGAAAUAUGCAACAAAUAGGUGAAGUUAUGAAAGUGUUUAAACUAAAAUAUUCCACCCAAGCGAUUAGAAAUCGUAGGAUCAUCGAAGUCCAAUAAAAUGUGCAACAAAAAGGUGAAGUUAUAAAAUUGAUUAUUAAACUAAGUCCUCCCCAAUGAUUAGGAAUCGAUGUGAUGAACCCCAAUAUUGAAGAGGAUCAUCAAGGUGCAAUGAAAUAUGCAACAAAUAGGUGAAGUUAUAAAAGUGUUUAAACUAAAAUAUUCCACCCAAGCGAUUAGAAAUCGGAGGAUCAUCAAAGUCCAAUGAAAUGUGCAACAAAAAGGUGAAGUUAUUAAAUUAAAUUUUAAACUAAAAGUCCUCCCCAACGAUUAGGAAUCGAUGUGAUGAAUCCCAAUAUUGAGACAAGGUGCAAUGAAAUAUGCAACAAAUAGGUGAAGUUAUAAAAGUGUUUAAACUAAAAUAUUCCACCCAAGCGAUUAGAAAUCGUAGGAUCAUCGAAGUCCAAUGCAAUGUGCAACAAAUAGGUGAAGUUAUAAAAUUGAUUAUUAAACUAAGUCCUCCCCAAUGAUUAGGAAUCGAUGUGAUGAACCCCAAUAUUGAAGAGGAUCAUCAAGGUGCAAUGAAAUAUGCAACAAAUAGGUGAAGUUAUAAGUGUUUAAACUAAAAUAUUCCACCCAAGGAAUUAGAAAUCGGAGGAUCAUCGAAGUCCAAUGAAAUGUGCAACACAAAGGUGAAGUUAUUAAAUUGAAUUUUAAACUAAAAGUCCUCCCCAACGAUUAGGAAUCGAUGUGAUGAAUCCCAAUAUUGAGACAAGGUGCAAUGAAAUAUGCAACAAAUAGGUGAAGUUAUAAGUGUUUAAACUAAAAUAUUCCACCCAAGCAAUUAGAAAUCGGAGGAUCAUCGAAGUCCAAUGAAAUGUGCAACAAAAAGGUGAAGUUAUUUAAUUAAUUGAUUCAUCGAUGUGAUGAAUCCCAAUAUUGAGACAAGGUGCAAUGAAAUAUGCAACAAAUAGGUGAAGUUAUAAAAGUGUUUAAACUAAAAUAUUCCACCCAAGCGAUUAGAAAUCGUAGGAUCAUCGAAGUCCAAUGCAAUGUGCAACAAAUAGGUGAAGUUAUAAAAUUGAUUAUUAAACUAAGUCCUCCCCAAUGAUUAGGAAUCGAUGUGAUGAACCCCAAUAUUGAAGAGGAUCAUCAAGGUGCAAUGAAAUAUGCAACAAAUAGGUGAAGUUAUAAGUGUUUAAACUAAAAUAUUCCACCCAAGGAAUUAGAAAUCGGAGGAUCAUCGAAGUCCAAUGAAAUGUGCAACACAAAGGUGAAGUUAUUAAAUUGAAUUUUAAACUAAAAGUCCUCCCCAACGAUUAGGAAUCGAUGUGAUGAAUCCCAAUAUUGAGACAAGGUGCAAUGAAAUAUGCAACAAAUAGGUGAAGUUAUAAGUGUUUAAACUAAAAUAUUCCACCCAAGCAAUUAGAAAUCGGAGGAUCAUCGAAGUCCAAUGAAAUGUGCAACAAAAAGGUGAAGUUAUUUAAUUAAUUGAUUCAUCGAUGUGAUGAAUCCCAAUAUUGAGACAAGGUGCAAUGAAAUAUGCAACAAAUAGGUGAAGUUAUAAAAGUGUUUAAACUAAAAUAUUCCACCCAAGCGAUUAGAAAUUGUAGGAUCAUCAAAGUCCAAUGAAAGGAAUCGUUGUGAUGAAUCUAGUGUCCUUGCUUUAGCCGAAGUAGUUUGCUGUGAAAUGUGUGCGAAUUUAAAGGUACCGCAGUAAAAGGAUAAUUCAAGUAGGAAAUGGAGAGCAGCAACCCCAACACCUUAUUAUGAAAAUUGAGGACGACUAAGGCAACAUUAUUGAUAAAUAAUAAUGCCUAUCAAAAUGACCGGAGGGAGCGAAUUUUUGUCAACGGCAGCUGGUGCCGCUGGAUUGACAGCUUUUGUUUUCAUAUUAACUACAAGCUGUAAUUUGCGGCAAAAAACACAGCAAUUAACAGGCAAUUGCAGCACGGCAGCCCUCUUUUGUCUUCGGCCCCCAUGGCACACUAAACUAGUUCAGUCCGUCCGUCUCCGCCAACGUCGCUCCUAUCCGGUGUGGUCUGAGGUUCUCGCAUUCGUCUCCGGAUUUGGUGCGACUGCGGAACGCCCACCACCACGCCUUCCAGCACCAUUGAUUGCCACACUGGAGAAAAACUCUGGUCGAUGUGACGGUAUUUUAACGAAAUAGUGAGCAUGCAAAUUUUCGAUUUUUCGCUUCUGUGAGGACCCAUUUAAUUGUAUCCUUUUCCUGGUCUUCAUUCAAAUUUAAAUCUGAUUUCUAGAGAAGUAUAGUUUGUUCGUGGAUUUUGGUAUAAAAUAGAAUCGUUUCAAUCAAUUAAAUAUAUGCAAUUCCACUAAUCUUCGCUUUUUCUAGCUUUCAACUUAAGAAAACCAAAAUUUAAGUGCAUGUACCAGAAUAAUUUUGAAAAAUGUUGUACGAAACCCACAAAUAUCUGGUCGAUGUGACGGUAUUUUAACAAAAUUCUUUAAUAGUGAGCACGCAAAUUUCUGAUUGAAGUAGUACCACCUGAAGGAAUUUAUUUUUCUUAUCUUUUUGUGAUUUUAAUAUUUUUAUAGUUUAAUUGUUUCCCUUUCGGGCAGAUUGCUGAUCUCUUCGUCUUGAUUUAUAAGCGAAUUGUGGUCAUUCAAAUUUAAAUCUGAAAUUUGGUUUCUCGUGGAUUUUGGUAUAAAAUAGAAUCGUUUCAAUCAAUUUAAUAUAUGCAAUUCCACAAAUCUUCGCUUUUUCUAGCUUUCAACUUAAGAAAACCAAAAUUUAAGUGCAUGUACCAGAAUAAUUUUGAAAAAUGUUGUACGAAACCCACAAAUAUCUGGUCGAUGUGACGGUAUUUUAACAAAAUUCUUUAAUAGUGAGCACGCAAAUUUCUGAUUGAAGUAGUACCACCUGAAGGAAUUUAUUUUUCUUAAUAUCUUUUUGUGAUUUUAAUAUUUUUAUAGUUUAAUUGUUUUCCUUUCGGGCAGAUUGCUGAUCUCUUCGUCUUGAUUUAUAAGCGAAUUGUGUUCAUUCAAGUUUCUAGAGAAAUUUAGUUUCUCGUGGAUUUUGGUAUAAAAUAGAAUCGUUUCAAUACAUUUAAUAUAAAUACAAUUCCACUAAUCCUCGCUUCUUUAGCCUUCAAAUUGAGAAACUUAAAAUUUAAAUGCAUGUACCAGAAUAUUUUUGAAAAAUGUUGUACGAAAGGCACAAAUAUCUGAUCAUAAUGAUUACUUGCAAAUGGAUGAAUUACACUAUUUACUAUUAAUUUCCUUGUUGAAGUAGGGUACAAAUUAUGAUAAUUUAAUGACGAAUGAUUCUAUGCAGAUCUUUUAUUGAUAAAUUUUUAGAUUUUAUUAGUUUCAUUUUAUUACUCACGCGGUUUUUAAAAAUGGAAAAUCGAUGUACAUAUUUUUCGUUUGGGCAGUCGGAUGAUAGUGAUGUUGGAAACACAUUUAAUAACAAUUUUUCACAUAGAUAUCACUAUUAAUAUCAAAUGAUUUAGCUUAUAUUUAUGAACGCGGACUGGAUAAAUGGUGAUGUGAAUAUGCAUGAAGAAUCGAAAUCAACGAUCAUCGAUGGGCAACUAAUGCAUUUUUCCAGGUGCAUUUACUGUCGUGGGCCGACUUGAAGCAUUAUAAUUAAUUGGAAAUCGGAGUCGAUCAAUCGGAUGGCAACCGCAAAAUUAAUAAGCAUGAAUGAUGCCGACGACGCGAGUGUUCGCAGUAAUUGUGGAUGCGCCUGCACCCGUACUCGAGCUCAUAGUCAAAGUGGAGCAGACCAGACCAGAUCAGACCAAGCCAACCCAACCCAGGCCAGAGCUGACGGGCUAAUCAAAUUGCUGGCAAUCAUGGAGCCGUAUAAGCAAAUGUAGCAAUUUCAGUCAAACACCGAGAGAGCCGGCAACUUGAUAUGGCCAAGCUGCAGACGGCAACAACCACUUGUGGCUGCGACGCGAUUUGAUUCGAUUCGAUUCCAUUCCAUUCCAUUCGAUUCGCCUUAACUGAACUCGACUUGGGCUGGCUGUGGAAACCUCAGUCGAGUCAAUCAAAUGCAAAAUUGCGGUUCUUUGUUGAUUGUUGUUAAAAUCGCACUGCCGCUACCCAGCAGCAGCAGCAGCAACAGUAGCGGCAGUGGCAACAUUUUGCAUUUACCAACUGCAACUAGGCUUUCCAUACCAAUUAGUUUGAUUGAUUCCCGCAGACUGCAGCCAAAAUACAUACCUCGACAGGGACCCGGAUAUGCCACGGCGAUGGAACGUCCAAUUUUGCAAAUCAUUCGAUUUAUAUCACAGGCGCUCCUGUACGUCUUCCCAUCCACACCGCACACCGCCUGUCGCUCGUCGUAGCCACUGGAGUCCACAUCCAGGUUGUCCCAGGGACACUCGAUCCGGCAGGCGAUACAGUGGGGCAUCAGAUACUGAUCCUCCACGCAGGUCAAUCCGUUCAAGCAAUGGACUCCGCUGCAGCUGUCUGGGGGAUAGGAUGAAGAAAGAAAGAAAGAAAGAAAAAUGUAUUUGUUAUACUAAUAUGUAUUGUUAAAAUUAAUAUUUGUUAAAUAAAGUAUGUAAUAUAAACU
ensembl:ncRNA asRNA:CR44370 antisense RNA:CR44370